rnacentral:rRNA from 1 species
AUACGUAGGUGACAAGCGUUAUCCGGAUUUACUGGGUGUAAAGGGCGUGUAGGUGGUUUGUCGCGUCGUCUGUGAAAUUCCGGGGCUUGACUCCGGGCGUGCAGGCGAUACGGGCAUAACUUGAGUACUGUAGGGGAGACUGGAAUUCCUGGUGUAGCGGUGAAAUGCGCAGAUAUCAGGAGGAACACCGGUGGCGAAGGCGGGUCUCUGGGCAGUAACUGACGCUGAGGAGCGAAAGCAUGGGUAGCGAACAGGAUUAGAUACCCUGGUAGUCCAUGCCGUAGACGGUGGGCGCUAGGUGUAGGGGUCUUCCACGACUUCUGUGCCGUAGCUAACGCAUUAAGCGCCCCGCCUGGGGAGUACGGCCGCAAGGCUAAAACUCAAAUGAAUUGACGGGG